rnacentral:rRNA from 1 species
CCCUGAUCCAGCCAUUCCGCGUGAGUGAAGAAGGCCUUCGGGUUGUAAAGCUCUUUCGGCAGGAACGAAACGGUCCCCUCUAA